rnacentral:misc_RNA from 1 species
GUUUAACAUUACAAUCAAAGAAUAAAAAAAUUAUUUUUAUGCAAAAAAAAUUUCUUAAGAAAUAAUUUCCAUAGAAAAUAUUUUCUAUGUCUAAAUAAUUUUAUAGAGCCUUAAUUUUAAUAUAAAUUGUUUUCUUGCUGUUGUGAUGGCUGAUGGAAUGGCCCUAUCUUUUCCAUUGUAGUAAGUUUGAACAUUUUUGGGGACAUUGUAUCUAAAGAUUAUAUGCUUGGAAAUAUAACUAAUUAUCGAUCUCUUUUUGCAGGUAAUGGUAGGAGUGUAGGUGC